CGCCAACCAGCUAGCCCACCCCAUCAAGAACAACAACCCAAUAUUUAUAAACCCAGACGCACGCAACCCCCACUUAAACAAACCAUUUUUCCUCCCUAGUAUGGGCGACAGAAAAGGAGCCAUCGGAGCAAUAGAGAAAGUACCGCAAGGGAACGCUGAAAGAGAAAUGAAACAACUCAGUUAAGCCCUAAGAAGCAGAGAUUUUUCCUCGUACCUUUUGCAUCAUGAUUUAGCUAGUAUUACCCAGGCAAAGAGCACUUUAGUCCGGGCCCCCGAAACUACGUGAGCUACUCCAAGACAGCCUAUUAAUAGGGCAAACCCGUCUCUGUGGCAAAAGAGUGGGAAGAGCUUUGAGUAGAGGUGACAGACCUACCGAACCUAGUUAUAGCUGGUUGCCUGAGAAUUGGAUAGGAGUUCAGCCUCCCGGCUUCUCUCUUCACCAUGGUUUCACCCCUACCGACACCUAAAGAAGCCGAGAGAGUUAAUCAAAGGGGGUACAGCCCCUUUGAAAUAAGAUACAACUUUCCCAGGAGGGUAAAGAUCAUAAUCAUUAAAGGUAAUAAUGCCCCGGUGGGCCUAAAAGCAGCCAUCCCCAUAGAAAGCGUUAAAGCUCAAGCAUUAAACCUCACCCAUAUAUUUAGAUAACCAAAUCCUAACCCCCUAACAUUACCAGGCCAUCUCAUGCAAACAUGAGAGUGCACAUGCUAAUAUGAGUAAUAAGAGAGCACUAGCCUCUCUCCUUGCACACGUGUAAAUCGGAACGAACCCCCACCGAAACUUAACGGCCCCAAACAAAGAGGGUAAUGAACAACAAGUUAAACAACCAGAAAAUCAUCCAACAACUAACCGUUAAUCCCACACUGGUGUGCCCCUAAGGAAAGACUAAAAGAAAAAGAAGGAACUCGGCAAACUUUCCAAGCCUCGCCUGUUUACCAAAAACAUCGCCUCUUGCAAAAUCUAAGAAUAAGAGGUCCAGCCUGCCCUGUGACUAUAUGUUUAACGGCCGCGGUAUUUUAACCGUGCGAAGGUAGCGCAAUCACUUGUCUUUUAAAUGGAGACCUGUAUGAAUGGCAUAACGAGGGCUUAACUGUCUCCUUUUUCCAGUCAAUGAAAUUGAUCUCCCCGUGCAGAAGCGGGGAUAUAACCAUAAGACGAGAAGACCCUAUGGAGCUUUAGACACUAAAGCAUAUCAUGCUAAGUACCCCUAAACAAAGGACUAAGCCAAAUGAUUUAUGCCCCUAUGUCUUUGGUUGGGGCGACCGCGGGGAAAUAAAAAACCCCCACGUGGAGUGGGAGCACUACCUCCUACAACCAAGAGCUGCAGCUCUAAUAAACAGAAUUUCUGACCAAUAAGAUCCGGCAACGCCGAUCAACGGACCGAGUUACCCUAGGGAUAACAGCGCAAUCCCCUUUUAGAGCCCAUAUCGACAAGGGGGUUUACGACCUCGAUGUUGGAUCAGGACAUCCUAAUGGUGCAGCCGCUAUUGAGGGUUCGUUUGUUCAACGAUUAAAGUCCUACGUGAUCUGAGUUCAGACCGGAGUAAUCCAGGUCAGUUUCUAUCUAUGACAUGUUCUUUUCUAGUACGAAAGGACCGAAAAGAAGGGGCCAAUACUCGAAGCACGCCUCACCCCUCCUAAUGAAAACAACUAAAAUAGGAAAAAGGGCAUACCCUCACCUACGCCUGAGAUAAUGGCAU
rnacentral:rRNA from 1 species